CCGGCGACCGGCGGACGGGUGCGUAACGCGUAUGUAACCUACCUUUGACAGGGGGAUAACAUCGAGAAAUUGGUACUAAUACCCCAUAACAUCACCGGAGGCAUCUUCGGUGGUUGAAAACUCAGGUGGUCAGAGAUGGACAUGCGUUGUAUUAGCUAGUUGGUGGGGUAACGGCUCACCAAGACAACGAUACAUAGGGGGACUGAGAGGUUAACCCCCCACAUUGGUACUGAGACACGGCCCAGACUCCUACGGGAGGCAGCAG
rnacentral:rRNA from 1 species